rnacentral:rRNA from 1 species
GCAAGUCGAGGGGCAGCAUGGGACUUCGGUCCUGAUGGCGACCGGCGCACGGGUGAGUAACGCGUACACGACCUACCUUUAACUGGAGGAUAGCCCUGGGAAACUGGGAUUAAUACUGCAUAAUAUUAUAAGUAAUAAAGGUUUAUAAUCAAAGCUUAGGCGGUUAAAGAUGGGUGUGCGUUCCAUUAGCUAGUUGGUAAGGUAACGGCUUACCAAGGCUACGAUGGGUAGGGGGCGUGAGAGCGUGAUC